rnacentral:rRNA from 1 species
CUACGGGCCGCUCCAGUCGGGAAUUUUCUGCAAUGCGCGCAAGCGUGACAGAGUGAGCCAGAGUGCUUCUCAAUGAGAAGCUUUUGUCAAAUGCAAAAAGUUUGGCGAAUAAGGACUGGGUAAGACUAGUGCCAGCCGCCGCGGUAAUCCUAGCGGUCCAAGUCGCAACCAUUUUUAUUGGGUCUAAAAUAUCCGUAGCUUGCUUCGUAAGUCCUUUGUGAAAUCCGGCAUCUUAAGUGUCGGGCGCGCGGAGGGUACUGCAAAGCUAGAGACUGGUAGACGUAAGAAGUACGGUCAAAGUAGCGGUAAAAUGCGUUAAUCUUGGCCGGACUCACAACAGCGAAGGCAUCUUACGAGGACAGUUCUGACAGUAAGGGAUGAAGGCUAGGGGCGCAAAAGGGAUUAGAUACCCGAGUAGUC